AGAAGACAAAGAAGAAGAGGAGGAACACCUGCAUUACAGGACCAAAAUCCGACCACAACAAGUGCAUCCUCUCCUAAGGUAGGCUGAACCAAAAGAGAAGGAUAACUAAGCCAAAACAACUUCAAACUGACGAUGAGCCAGUUUUCGAAGGGGUGGACAGAAGGACUCUCACUUCCUUUAAUAUGAUGUUUCUUACCUUAGAAGAAGCAGGAGGAGUUUGUUCGUCAGCAGCAGGGUACAUCUUGGCUCACAGUGAUGGGAGUUGAGCUCUCUGUUGUCCCCUCGCCUUCUCCAGCCUUCAUCUUCUUCUUUUUCUUCUUCUUGCUUUCCUUUGAAAGUGGAGACGAGUCAACUUCAGGAGGCUC